ACCUUCUUUUCCUCCUUUCUUCUUCUCUUCCCGAUCCACUCCUCCUUUUCUCCUCUUCUCACAUGAAGCAAGGAAGCUUGUGGGAGUGCUCGGGAGGGAGACGGGUCCGAGGUCGGAGAAGCCGGCGGCCAGCCAACAUCGCCUGCGGCUUGGCCCGUAGCGGCCGAUCCCCCCUUCGUCUUCUUCCAUCUUCUCUUUAGAAGGGAGGAGGGCGACUCCCCCUCACGGAGGAGGUCGGUCGCGACCGGCGGCGCCCACGGCCGAACCCGUGGCCGUGCCCGCAGCAGCCGGCCCCCUCUCUGUUCUUUGGUGCAAAUGGGGGUCGGAACCACCCCCUUGAAAAGAAGGGACCUCCGUCCCACCGCAGCCCCGACCGAAGCCCGCGAAGUCUGCGGGAGGAGCCGGCGGCUCCUCCUUCAUCCCCACUACGGGUGGGGGAGAGACCCGCCACCCCGGCCAUAGCCGCAGCGAAACUCGCCGCUACCAAGGAAAAUCUGCGGCCGAGUUCACCGCGCCGGAUCCGCAGCUGGGGACCCUAGGGAAGAAGAAGUCAAGGACUUACCUAGCUCCAGGACAACCAUGUGAUGUUCCCUCUGGCGGCUGGGAUCCCUACUCCGAUGAUAUUGCUCCUGCUUCAAUUCCUUGUAGCAGAAAAAGAGGGGAAUGAGAAGAAAUGAGAGGGUGAUGGAGUUCCUCUGUGAAGGAUCCAUAAGCCUUAAUAGCCCUAAGAGGAGAGUGGUGGUGAUCGUGGCUGUUAGGCGGUUGUAACCGUCUCAGCUGGCGAUCACCACCUCUAGGUCUCCAGAUGGGCCAGCCAUGUUGGGCUUGGCCCAUUAGCUCACUGUAUGUGGGCUUGUCCUCACAUUAAGUGCUAUUCUUAUAUCCUUAUCCACAAUAAUUCGAGAGAUCAACUGAGAAAUGUUGCACAACAAAAUUGCAGAAGUGAUGUGUAGCUUUUCUAUUGAA